UGGGGAAUAUUGGACAAUGGGGGCAACCCUGAUCCAGCCAUGCCGCGUGAGUGAUGAAGGCCUUCGGGUUGUAAAGCUCUUUUGGGUGGGACGAUGAUGACGGUACCACCAGAAUAAGCCCCGGCAAACUUCGUGCCAGCAGCCGCGGUAAUACGAAGGGGGCUAGCGUUGUUCGGAUUUACUGGGCGUAAAGGGUGUGUAGGCGGUUUGCCAAGUCAGGCGUGAAAGCCCCGGGCUCAACCUGGGAACUGCGCUUGAAACUGGCAGACUGGAGUAUGGGAGAGGUUAGUGGAAUUCCGAGUGUAGAGGUAAAAUUCGUAGAUAUUCGGAAGAACAUCGAUGGCGAAGGCAGCUAACUGGACCAUAACUGACGCUGAGGCACGAAAGCGUGGGGAGCAAA
rnacentral:rRNA from 1 species